UCCGUAGGGGGCAAGCGUUGUCCGGAAUUACUGGGCGUAAAGCGCGUGUAGGCGGGCCGGCAAGUCUGGCGUGAAAGGCUCGGGCUCAACCCGAGAUGGCCGCUGGAAACUGCCGUUCUUGAGGGUCGAAGAGGAGAGUGGAAUUCCUGGUGUAGCGGUGAAAUGCGUAGAGAUCAGGAGGAACACCCAUGGCGAAGGCAGCUCUCUGGUCGACCUCUGACGCUGAGACGCGAAAGCGUGGGGAGCGAACGGG
rnacentral:rRNA from 1 species